AUACGAAGGAGGCAAGCGUUGUUCGGAAUAACUGGGCGUAAAGCGCACGUAGGCGGAAUGUUAAGUUAGAGGUGAAAUCCCAGGGCUCAACCCUGGAACGGCCUUUAAUACUGGCAAUCUAGAGACCGAGAGAGGUGAGUGGAAUUCCGAGUGUAGAGGUGAAAUUCGUAGAUAUUCGGAGGAACACCAGUGGCGAAGGCGGCUCACUGGCUCGGUACUGACGCUGAGGUGCGAAAGCGUGGGGAGCAAACAGGAUUAGAAACCCCAGUAGUCC
rnacentral:rRNA from 1 species